rnacentral:rRNA from 1 species
GAUGAACGCUGGCGGCGUGCUUAACACAUGCAAGUCGAACGGUGAAGCUCCAGCUUGCUGGAGUGGAUCAGUGGCGAACGGGUGAGUAACACGUGAGCAACCUGCCCCUGACUCUGGGAUAACAGCCGGAAACGGCUGCUAAUACCGGAUAUGCACCAUGAACGCAUGUUCUGUGGUGGGAAAGAUUUUUCGGUUGGGGAUGGGCUCGCGGCCUAUCAGCUUGUUGGUGAGGUAAUGGCUCACCAAGGCGUCGACGGGUAGCCGGCCUGAGAGGGUGACCGGCCACACUGGGACUGAGACACGGCCCAGACUCCUACGGGAGGCAGCAGUGGGGAAUAUUGCACAAUGGGCGAAAGCCUGAUGCAGCAACGCCGCGUGAGGGAUGACGGCCUUCGGGUUGUAAACCUCUUUUAGCAGGGAAGAAGCGAGAGUGACGGUGCCUGCAGAAAAAGCGCCGGCUAACUACGUG